UAUAUGUAUACAUAUAGCUGAUUCACUUUGUUAUACAGCAGUAACUAACACAACAUUGUAAAGCAAUUAUACUCCAAAAAAAUGUUAAAAAAGUCAAUAUAAUUUUUAAAAAAAGUAUAACUUCACAGAUAAUUAAAGAAAUGCUAAUCAAAAUAAUAAGAUACCCUUUUUUCUAAACUGUCAAAUAUUAGAAAUAUAUAUGUUAGAAAUAUAUAUACUGUAUAUAUACAAUAUAUAUAAAAUAUAUAUAUACCCAGUGUUGGUAAGGGUGUGAUGAAAUAAAUGUAAUCAUACUCAGUUGCUGAAAGUAUAAGUGGAAAUAAUCUUCCUAAAGGCUACAAGUAUUAAGGACCUAAAAAGUGGACAGAAACUUCACUUCUAGGAACUAAUUGGAAUUGGACAUAAGUGGGAAUGAAAUGCAAAGAUUUAUGUACUAGAACAUUCACUAUAAUGUUAUUGUUCUCAACAAUGAGGGAUUGGUUACAUAAAUUAUAGCACAUCCAUCUGAAUUAAAAAACAUAGCCAUUAAAAUUGUUUUUGAAAAAUAGUGACAUGGAAAAAUGUUCAUGAUACACUAUAAAGUGAAAAAAGAAACAUGUCUGAUUAUAUAUAAAACAUAAUCAUCACUUGGUAAAAAUAUGUGUUUUAUUUAUUCACAUAUUUAUAUACAUCCUAAAAACUCUUAAGACUAGAGGAAAUCUAUUAAAAUCAUAAUGAUGUGUUAAGAAAAACUAUCCAAGGCUUGGAAAAAAGAAUGACUGUAUGUCCUUUCCAUGUCAUAUCAAAACAGUCUAGCAGAGCCGCUCAGUGAUUAUCUGAUUCUCUAGGGGAACACUCCUUUGUUGUCACCUCUUAUCUGAAGGGACUGUAUUCCAAGACCCCCAGCGGCUGCCUGAAACUGCAAAUAGUACUGACCUCUAUACAUAUUGUUCUUUUCCUCUACAUACAUACCUCUGAUAAAGUUCAUAAAUAAGGCACAGUAAGAGAAUAUCCAGAUUGCCAACAUCACUACUCUCGCUCUUUGGGACCAUUAUGAAGUAAAAUAAGGGUUACUUGAACACAGGCACUAGGAUACUGUGGGUAACCGAGAUGGCUACUAAGUGAAUAACGGGAAGGAAACGCUGAACUAAGGGGUGAUUCAUGUCCCUGCCGGGAUGGAGUGGGACGCCGAGAGAUUUCAUCAUGCUCCUUAGGAUGGCGCACAAUUUAAAACUUAUGAAUUGUUUAUUUCUGGAAUUUUCCAUUUAAUAUUUUUGGAGUGCGAUUGACCAGGGGUAACUGAAACCACAGAAAAGUGAAACUGCAGAUAAGCAGGAUGACUGUCUUUACUAUUGAUUUAGAGCCUGGACUCUGUGAAGUUACAUGACAACAUGUGGAUUUUUUCCCUCAGUAGCUAAUCAAGUUAUAUCUGCUCUUAAAGAUUACGGUUUUAUUCUCUGCAAGAUAGGAACCAUCUUUGUAUCUAAACUAGCAGCCUUCCUUCCUUGUUCUCUCAGUGCAUGUACACUCAGUCUCUCAAAUUCACUUUCAUUUAGUUUUAUCAUCUAGCUGGUUCCCUCAGUGAUGAGUUAAAUAAAUCUUCAUGUGUGCUUAGUUUAGAUUUGUAUGAGAAUCAAGUUUUUAGUAUUUUUGAAAUACUUUGACUGUGGCUGUAUAUUGGAGGUAGGUUUAUAAGAGAUUUCAGCGUUCUUCCUUACAUCCUUCCAUAUUUGUCAAAUAUCCAUGAAAGGACAUGCUUCACUUUUAUAAAGAAAGCACAAAAUGUAUGUGUAUACGUGUAUAUGUACAUUCUAAGUUGAUUUUUCAGUCCAUACUUGACCUGGUCCUAUACCCAGUGAAGGGCUUCCUUCCCCGAUGAUUUCCAAACGUGGCUUUGCAACUGACAGGGCAGACUCUGACUCCAGGGGACAAGAAAAGGCGUUAUUAUGCUCCCAGAAAACUAAUCUGUGUUGCUGGAUAAGUACAGGUAGAUUGAUAAAAUCCAUUUCCACUGUCAGCUGAGCUGGACGGGGAACAAACUUCUUUAGUGGGAGCUGAGGACAAGUGCCUGAGUAAGGACACGCCCCCUCCCGCCCCCUUCAUCAAUGGAAACGAGUCAGAGUCCUGAAUGAGGGACAGGAAGCACAGGAAGGUCUGAAAUGUGAGACCCAGGGGAAGACAGAGAGGACCACAGGAGGAAAGGGGGCCAAGCAUGAGAAAGAGCGGGAGGCAGCAGACUGGAGGGGGAGCCUGCGGAGACCCCAGUGCCCCCUUGUAGGCUGGGAAGGGAGCUGGUUCAGGCUAGUCUGUUGCACCCACACUCUGAAUUUAUCUUUCAUCUUCCCCUCCCGACUUCACCUCGUUUCCAACCCCAUAGCCAUGCAGCUGACAUGACUGUGGUCGCUGGUAUUUGCUUAGAAAUGCACAUGAGAAUUUCUGGCAGUUUCUUACUUUUGUUGCUCUCCUUUGCCUAAUUUAUUGACUAUUGGAAACAAUUCUUAGUGAAAAAUCCAGAUUCGAGUGCUUUAAAUGCUGUCUUCCUGCAGAGACAGCUGCCUCACUCAAUAAUAACCUAGGAACAGAGGUGCUGUCAUCCACUGGGCUCUGUGGUACGUAUUCUGGCCUGGAGACACCACCUAGACAGCGACCACCUGAUUUCUCAUUGUCACUAAGGCCAGGACUGAUAACACAUCUGUUUUCUUGGUUCUGUCACGUCAGAAACCAUAUCAGAGAAAAAGCCACAUCCCUAAAACUAGAACAUAAAUUACACCGAAGCAGGCGAGAAGGUCUUUGCUGCCCCCUGUUGGUGGGAUCCUACUAACCCCUAACAUUUUACUUCAAACAUUUAAGCAAUAUGCUACUUGGUUUCCGUAUUUUUACUCUUUGAGAGUUCUGGUCCUGGUUUUGCCACCUAUUCGCUGUGAGACCUUGUUGAAAUAAUUAAAUUUCUUUGGACCUCAACCCUCCUCACCUAUACCACAAGCUUAUUAGUCUCUUUCAAUGAUAGGAUUUGUGGUGCUAAGGAUCCUAGGUUUUUAGAACUUUUACAGAAGAUGGAUAAGAAACUAGUGCAAUGACCUAAAGCCCUCUAAUGAUGCAGAUCAACAUCUAAUCUGUUAUUACUGUUUGCACCUAGGCAUGUGUAAAAUAUUUGCUGCAAACUCUAUUUUUAUUAUGUUGAAUCCAAUUCAAGAUAAAAAUAACUGAAACAGAUGAAAGUGGACAUCAUAAACUUCAUAAUCUUAUACCUUUCUAAAGACAGAAAUGAAAACAGAAACUAGGACUUGAUCUGGUUUAAGGCUUGCAUGUGUUUCUCCAGAAAGAAAAUGAUCGUUUAAAGGAAUUUACUGCGUUCCUUCUUGUUGGGGAGUGGGGGAAGAAGCAUUAAUUUUAGGCACCAUAUACUACUGAAACAACCUUAUACUUUAUUAAUCCAGUAGUAUUCUUAUUAUAAAAAGGCAUUCUAAAGUUAAAAUGAAAUUGAAAAUAGCCACACAUAGUAUCGUGACUCUCCCAUGAUAUGGUUAUAUCCAGAUGUAUCUAGGGACCCUGCCCUGGAGAAAAAGCUUUCCACCUGUGCUAACAGAGCAAGACUCCUCCAGCUUACGGGAAGCACUCUGCCGAGGCUACAAGGGGGCAAUUUAUUGGGCAGAAGGGUCUGAGUCAGUGAGUAAAUGUGACAGUGGCAGACAGAUGGUAUACUGUGGGAGAGAGCAUGUGGGAGAGUUUGAAGAGCUGAAAUAUCUUGAGAGGGUCAGUGGUAAACACAGGUAUGUUACUCACAAGAACAGUGACAUCAACAAAUAAAAUCCAAAUGACAGCGAUAACAUCAAUCAAUGAAAGACAGCCAUAGAGGCAUGUGAUUAUUUUCAAUCCAAAUCCUGAACUGUAGACGUGCAACUAAAUAUUACUCCCCUGGAAGCAGUCUCCUUGGGAGAGACCACACGCUUAUCUCAAGAGUGCUGUCCUCCUCAAGACAUUUGGGGAGCCCUCUGGGAGGGAUGUUCUUUCAAAGCCUGUGGCCUCUGUGGCAAUAAAUGUUUAUCCUUUGAAGGGGGUUUGCUUCAUGGUAGGAGGUAAAAGAUAUUCAAAAGCCAGCGUGAUGGAUAAGGCAGAGGGUCAGAUUGGCUAAAACAUUUCUUGGUCCAAAGUCAAGUAAAGGGCUUUCCUGGUGGUGCAGUGGUGAAGAGUCUGCCUGACAAUGCAGGGGACACAGGUUUGAGCCCUGCUCCAGGAAGAUCCCACAUGCCGUGGAGCAAUUAAGCCCGUGCACCACAACUACUGAAGCCCGCGUGCCUACAGCCUGUGCUCCACAACGAGAGAAGCCACCGCAAUGAGAAGCCUGCGCACUGCGGCGAGGAGUGGGCCCCGCUCACUGCAGCUGGAGAGGGCCCGUGCGCAGCGGCGAAGACCCAACGCAGCCAAAGUUUCACCACAGAGGGGCACUUCCCCAGGCCGGUCCUGUGGGAACUUCCCUUUCCAAUUAAUUUACCUGACAAGGUACCCACACCUGGAGGUGGGCCAAGAGAACACAGAGCCAUGAUCUGCUGUGAAGCCCAGGUUCUCAAGUGAUUCACCGCUGUGUUUUCGCCUCUGGGAGCUGUGUGGCGGCCUCUCCCAGGCUGUCCUGCCCGAAAGCGAGAUAUCGUCAUUCAGAUUCUGUAAGCCUGGAAAAGAAGGCGAGUAGGGAAAGAAGGCUCCAGUGGACAUAUGGUGACAACUUUUUCGUUCGUAAAUGUCCCAUUUUUCUGAUUAUUAAAGUAACAUAUACUCA